ensembl:ncRNA F57F4.5 ncRNA
GACUCCACCCACUUCGUGCUCUUAUCAAGAGAGGGCAACUACCGUAUAACAAGGACCGAUUGGCGACCAAGAACCAAUUUUGACUGUUCAUUAUAAGAGCCUCAUUCUAUUUAAUUUACAUCUCGCCAGGUCGCACUUCACUUC